rnacentral:rRNA from 1 species
UGAAUACGAGACGCUACGGCGUCGAAGCAGUCUAUGUCAUACUUCCAAGAAAAGCUUGCACUGUCAUAAACAAAUAAUGCCUGUACCAUAACCGACACAGGUGGGUAGGUAGAGUAUACUAAGGGGCGCGAGAUAACUCUCUCUAAGGAACUCGGCAAAAUGACUCCGUAACUUCGGGAGAAGGAGUGCCUUAUUUAUAAGGUUGCAAUAACAAGAUCCAAGCAACUGUUUAUCAAAAACACAGGUCUCCGCUAAGUCGUAAGACGAUGUAUGGGGGCUGACGCCUGCCCAGUGCCAGAAGGUUAAAGAAGUUGGUUAGCAUUAGCGAAGCUGAUAACUGAAGCCCUGGUGAACGGCGGCCGUAACUAUAACGGUCCUAAGGUAGCGAAAUUCCUUGUCGGGUAAGUUCCGACCCGCACGAAAGGCGUAAUGAUUUGGAUACUGUCUCGGAGAGGGGCUCGGUGAAAUAGACUUGUCUGUGAAGAUGCGGACUACCUGCACCUGGACAGAAAGACCCUAUGAAGCUUUACUGUAACCUGAAAUUGAAAUUGGACUUUAUUUGCGCAGUAUAGGUGGGAGGCGUUGAGAAUAUUCUUGCGGGAAUAUUGGAGCCAUCAGUGAGAUACCACUCUUGUAAUGUUAGAUUUCUAACUUUGAAUCAUUAUCUGGUCAAAGAACAGUUUCAGGCGGGCAGUUUGACUGGGGCGGUCGCCUCCUAAAUGGUAACGGAGGCGCACAAAGGUUUCCUCUGAACGGGUAGAAAUCGUAUCUAGAGUGUAAAGGCAUAAGGAAGCUUGACUGUGAGACCUACAAGUCGAGCAGGGACGAAAGUCGGUCUUAGUGAUCUGACGGUGCUGAGUGGAAAGGCCGUCACUCAACGGAUAAAAGUUACUCUAGGAUAACAGGCUGAUCUCCCCCAAGAGUUCACAUCGACGGGGAGGUUUGGCACCUCGAUGUCGGCUCAUCGCAUCCUGGGGCGGUAGUACGUCCCAAGGGUUGGGCUGUUCGCCCAUGAAAGCGGUACGCGAGCUGGGUUCAGAACGUCGUGAGACAGUUCGGUCCAUAUCCGGUGUAGGCGUUAGAAUAUUGAGAGGAGCCUUCUUUAGUACGAGAGGACCGAGAAGGACAUACCUCUGGUGUACCAGUUAUCGUGCCAACGGUAAACGCUGGGUAGCUAUGUAUGGAGAGGAUAACCGCUGAAAGCAUCUAAGUGGGAAGCCCACCUCAAGAUAAGUAUUCUC